CCUACGGGAGACAGCAGUGGGGAAUAUUGCACAAUGGAGGAAACCCUGAUGCAGCAACGCCGCGUGGGUGAAGGAGCGUUUCGGCGCGUAAAGCCCUGUCAGCGGGGAAGAAGAAAGACGGUAGCCGACCAAGAAGCCCCGACUAACUACGUGCCAGCAGCCGCGGUAAUUCGUAGGGGGCGAGCGUUAUCCGGAAUUACUGGGUGUAAAGGGAGCGUAGACGGCGAGGUAAGCCUGAAGUGGAAGCCCGAGGCCCAACCGCGGAACUGCUUUGGAAACUGUUUGGCUGGAGAAUGGGAGGGGUAAGCGGAAUGCAUGGUGUAGCGGUGAAAUGCGUAGAGAUCAGGCGGAACACCGGUGGCGAAGGCGGCUUACCGAACCAUAACUGACGUUGAGGCUCGAAAGCGUGGGGAGCGAACAGGAUUAGAUACCCGAGUAGUC
rnacentral:rRNA from 1 species